UGUAGCUUAGUAGUAGAGCACUUGCCUAGCAUGCAAGAGGUCCUGGGUUCCAUCCCCAGCA
rnacentral:tRNA from 1 species